rnacentral:lncRNA from 1 species
UGGGUCGAUGGCUAUUCCACGUUGUGAAUCACGUGUAGGUCACACGGCCUACUGGGGUCGCAAGAUCUACCCGGGGCACGAACCUUGCAAACAAACUUAGCCAUUUCUACACGCCAUAAUGCAAACUGGAGAUCAAAAGAGGGAGACAAACACAAACACAAACACAGGAAAAAGAGGGAGUUAGGGAGGGAUGGAGCCCCAUUACAUGCAGAGCCAGGA